UUUACAAGUGCAGUUAAUGAGUUAAUGUGAAGAUACAAACUCUUAUUGAAAGGGAAUGACUAUAUUACAUGAAGAAGAAAAAAAUAAGUCAUGAAGUCUUCAGAAGCCUCAUGGGCCAAAAGCAGAGAAAGGGAGAGAAAAUACAAUAUCCACAUGCCUGCAAGAAAUACAAUGGAUACUUCAGAAAAGAAAAAGACAUCCAAGGAGUAGAACACUUGGUGAACUUCAUGAAGGGUAUCACAUUGAUGACAAGGAUAUCACAAAAUGACAAGGGAAAGAUCAAAGGCUUUAUGAAUCCACUGUGG
rnacentral:lncRNA from 1 species